GGCUUCCUAAUUAAGUCCCGCGCAGGGCACAGCCUGUCACGGGCGGCUAAUUGUCCGGAGUGCAAAGCGUGGGGGCGCGCUGCCUUUUUUUCCCUCCCCCCUCCCUCCUUCCCUCCCCCCCCCCCAAUGUUUUGGUGCUGGUGGGAGAGGGGAGCUGCUCACGCCCCUGACCAGCCUUCCCCGGGGCCGGUGCCAAGACGCCUUGUUCACCAGCGCCUCCCCUGGAAGAGCCGCCGCCUGCGGACAUCUUCGCUUUCGCCAAGGUACCGGGGAGUCUCCUCUCCCGGGUUAACCAUCUCGGCCUCGGCUCCCCAGAGGAAGCGGGCCGACUCCCUUUGGGGUUGGGGCUGGGGGGCUGGGAAGGAAUUUGCCACCGUCUUCCCCAAAGGGGGGCCUCCCAUCCUUGCAGUUGCGAACCGCUAAGGGUUGGUUUGCAGGGGAGCGCCACCCGGAGGUGAACCGAAGCCCCCUUUCCAUCACCGAGAUAGGCUGCCUUCUCUCUCCCGCCCCCAGCCCGGGAAACCGCGGGCAGCAACGCCUAUAGAGAUCUCUGGGAGAGUGCGGCGGAGAUCACAGGGCCAGGGGGCUUUCUUUCCUUCGCGCGAUCCUUGAUGUCCCUUUUCACGCUCAUAAACCGAGCAGUCGAAGCAAAGCGAAGCAGGACCUGGCUCAGGAGAGGACGGAAGGAGGGGGGGAGGGAGGAAGCCACACGCCAAGGGCAGCGUCCCAUCCACAGCGAGGGUUGCCAACAGGACCCGGGACGAAUAGCGAUGCCGCCGCGAGGACGUCUGCUCGGGAUGCCGGGGCGGAAGCUCUUGGCUCUGAAGAGAAGCGCUCUCUCGCCCGGGGUUGUGGAAAAGCGACUGGAUGGUCUUCGGUGGCCGCAGUCCAGGAGGAGAGAGGACCCAAGGGAGCGGAGGGAGGCUGGUCAUUGA
rnacentral:lncRNA from 1 species